rnacentral:rRNA from 1 species
GACGAACGCUGGCGGCGUGCCUAAUACAUGCAAGUAGAACGCUGAAGGAGGAGCUUGCUCUUCUGGAUGAGUUGCGAACGGGCGAGUAACGCGUAGGUAACCUGCCUGGUAGCGGGGGAUAACUAUUGGAAACGAUAGCUAAUACCGCAUAACAGUAGAUGUUGCAUGACAUUUACUUAAAAGGUGCAAUUGCAUCACUACCAGAUGGACCUGCGUUGUAUUAGCUAGUUGGUGGGGUAACGGCUCACCAAGGCGACGAUACAUAGCCGACCUGAGAGGGUGAUCGGCCCCACUGGGACUGGGACACGGCCCAGACUCCUACGGGAGGCAGCAGUAGGGAAUCUUCGGCAAUGGACGGAAGUCUGACCGAGCAACGCCGCGUGAGUGAAGAAGGUUUUCGGAUCGUAAAGCUCUGUUGUAAGAGAAGAACGAGUGUGAGAGUGGAAAGUUCACACUGUGACGGUAUCUUACCAGAAAGGGACGGCUAACCACGUG